AUUGAACGCUGGCGGCAGGCCUAACACAUGCAAGUCGAACGAGUGGCGGACGGGUGAGGAAUGUUAGGGAAACUGCCUGAUGGAGGGGGAUAACCACUGGAAACGGUAGCUAAAAACGCAUACCAUCUGAAGAGCCCGAUGGGAUUAGCUAGUAGGUGGGGUAACGGCUCACCUGGGCGACGAUCCCUAGCUGGUCUGAGAGGAUGACCAGCCACACUGGAACUGAGACACGGUCCAGACUCCUACGGGAGGCAGCAGUGGGGAAUAUUGCACAAUGGGCGCAAGCCUGAUGCAGCCAUGCCGCGUGUAUGAAGAAGGCCUUCGGGUUGUAAAGUACUUUCAGCGGGGAGGCGUUACCCGCAGAAGAAGCACCGGCUAACUCCGUGCCAGCAGCCGCGGUAAUUC
rnacentral:rRNA from 1 species